AACGAACGCUGGCGGCAUGCCUAACACAUGCAAGUCGAACGAGACAUUCGGGUUUAGUGGCGCACGGGUGGGUGAAGGGUGGGAACCUGCCCAUAGGUUUGGAAGAACUCCCGGAAUGAGGUGCUAAUACCGGAGAAUGUACCCCAACCAUAGAUUUAUCGCCUUUGGAUGUGCUUGGGAUGGAUUAGUUAGUUGUUAGGGUAAAAGCCUAUAAAGGCGACGAUCGAUAGCUGGUUUGAGAGGAUGAGCAGCCACACUGGGAGUGAGACACGGCCAAGACUCCUACGGGAGGCAGCAGAGGGGGAUAUUGGACUACGGGCGGAAGCCUGAACCAGCUAGGCCGCGUGAGUGAUGAAGGCCGUAGGGUUGUAAAGCACGUUUACCCGGGAUGAUAAUGACAGUACCGGGAGAAUAAGCUCCGGCUAACUCCGUG
rnacentral:rRNA from 1 species